GAGAGAGGCCCAUGGGGCAGUAGUGACUGCUAAUCCCUUCCACCGUGGUUAAAACCCACGGCUCACUCG
rnacentral:tRNA from 1 species